rnacentral:lncRNA from 1 species
GGAGAGAACUUUUUUCACAGCAAUCUUAGCAUUUAGAGCAAUUUAGGCAAUUUUCCGUUUUUGGUACUCGAGCUGCGACUCAAUUAGGUUUUUGCCGUCUUAGGGUUUUAGUUUGGAGUAGGACGUUGGCUAGUAACUUAGGCCAUCAAACUUCCUUGAUGGUAAUGCUCAGAUGCACUCGCGCUCGGUGGGGAAGGAUUCGUGGCUUGAUUGGAGAUGUAUAACCUUUGUUUCCGAUGACCUGGAAGUGAAAAAUCAGGAAGAACCACCACAUAGGACCUUGCAAAUGCUCUAAGGGCGGAUAUCACUGUCGCGCAAUGUAGAAACUCAUUAAAAAAAAAAAGAAAGAGAAUGGUCGAGUAUCAUUGUGGUGGUCGAGUUGCGGGUGAUAAGGAUUGAUCGAGAAGUUUUGAAGUACGAGGUGGGCGAAGAAGUGAUCGUGAGUAAACUAUGAGUCGAAUAAGUUGCUCGACCAUAGUUAGAAGAUGUCUUAGAUUGAUCAGACAGACGUUUUGGAAGCACAACAUUUUUGGAAGCACGACGUUUCAGAAGCUCAACGUUUUUGAAGACCGACAUUUCUUCAUCACGAAGUUUUCUCGGAAAAUCUUCGUAUCA